AUACUCUGGUUUCUCUUCAGAUCGAAUAAGUCUUUCACCUUUUACUAAAGAUUUCCAUGGAGAGGUACAGUCAUGAGCUUUCAUCAUUUUUUUUUAAGGCUCUACCGCAUGCAGAGUU